rnacentral:tRNA from 1 species
UGUAGACAAAUCGGUAAAGUCACCUGUCUUUCAAGCAGGAUUUUUGCGGGUUCGAUUCCCCCGACUCA